UUUGUAAAACAAGUCAGAUUUUGUUUGAAACCCAAAACAAGUUCAUCUUUCUUUGUUCUCAUUAAGAAACUCAUGUCUCAUUAGGAGACAGCACAAGGUUCCAUGACAAAAUAUCUAACCUAUAUUAAAAGGGAUAUAUGAGGAGUAAGGAGGCUGUCCACGUCCUCAUUUAAAAUCAGCCAAUAGGGUGUCUGAAAUUUGCCAUGUCACACUGCUGUUGAGUUAGAUUGGGCUUCUGUGGGUUUUCUUAAAUUUUCAUCCGGUCCAACUAAACUCAUGCCCACAAAUAUGUAUCAUCUUCAAGCGUCGAGGGUCUCUGUCCCCGACUCUUCCACUUCAUCUUCUCUAAUAUCUGAUUUUUUUUCCUAUACCUUCUCAAUCAAUGAUAAUCUUAAAGCUAUUCUUGAAUGUUUUGUUUCACCUCCACUCGAUACUUGAUACUUCUCCUAUAUAAAACUCUGUCUCUAGACCCUAAAUCUAUCCUAAAUUAAAAAAAAAAACUAUUUUGGCGGAAGCUACAUCCAUGGCCAUGAAAUACCACCGCCAAAAUUCAGCUAUCCACCUACAAAUCUCCAAUCGUCGCGGCUUCUGCUGAAACCACUUGCAUGAGGACUGCCAGAAUUUGUUGAGGACAGAGGCGGAAGCCCGUGUGGUCAAUGGAACCGGAGCUGAGCUUGAUCAGGUAAGGUCGGAUGUCUAGAGGCUAGCUGAAGAUAUACCGAAGCUAUCGGCGGCGACAAUUGAGCUUACGGCGAGAUAGCCAAGGCUAAAGCCUUUUCCUUUGCUACGUCACCUUCUGAGAUAAAUUGUUUCGACAAACCUAUUUGGCUUCAAGCUUCGAAAGUAUCAUCUCCCGCACCCAGACUCUUCCACUUCAUCUUCUCUAUGUCUGAUUUUUUUCAGUUACCUUCUCUCAAUCAAUGAUCAGUGAUGAUCUUAAUGUUUCGUUAUACCUACCCUAGACCCUUCUCCUAUAUAAAUCACUACAAUCUACGCCUAAAUCCACCCUAAAUUAUAAACCUACUAUGUAGCAGCUGUAUCCAUAGCCAUGAAAUCGAUCGGAAAAUCGCAGCUCUCCACAAAAUCAACGCUUCCCCUACAGUUUUGCAAUCUUACAAGGAAUCUCAAGAGCCGGCAGAUAACUCAAGUGAAGUACGGAAAUGCAAAUGCCUGGACCUUUCGAUUAUCUUACUCUUACUGCCCUCAUCGAGUGUAAGGUUUUCUGUUUGCAUUGAGGGCUUUCACUUUCUCCGAAUACACUUGAUAAUAUCCGGAUCUUGGAUUAGCUACAUGAGGUAUUAUCUUCUCCUUUUUUCUGCCCAAGUCCUUAGUUCGGAUUGGAUUUGAAGAGUUAUGAAUUGUUUAUGGGUCUCUUUCUCCUUCCACUCUCUUAAGGUUCAAGUGCUAACUUCCAAAUUAGUAUUAGGUUGUUUUCUGAAAGAGCAAAAGAAUAUCUUACUGGUCAUCUGAUUGAACUAUGUCUUGGUGCCACACUAAGGACCAAUGUGUGAUUUACUUUGGGAUGAUCCCCAUGAUGAUGUGGGUUAUCUCUUCGAGCUGGUUAUACAUUUGGACAGCUCAAUUCAAUGACAACAAUGGACUCAAUAUCAUAUUAAGAGCCCAUCAGCUUAGCUUUUAACUGGUGGCAGGUGUGUAUGUUCAUUUCAAUUGUUCAAGACUCUAACGAAGAAAAAAAUGUGGUGAUGGUGUUGCACCAAACUAUUGCUUCUGGUGGGGAAAUAUUGCAGCGAUUGUAGAAAUAAGAGAGGAUUAAAAUUUCCUCCAGUUUAAUCCAGCCGAAAGACCACCCAAUGCUAAAACCUAUAAAAUGGCAUCUGGUAUGUUUCUAACCUCGACAGUCUCCAAGUCCAAGCGAACCUGCAGGUUCUUUAAGAGGAUCACAAGACUGAAUUAUAAACAAUAGGAAACCCUGAAGAAGCUACCUCAACAACUUCCACCUCUUGAAAUUGGAUUAAAUGUAGGGAAUUCUCUUUUGCAAUUUGAUUAUUUGGCCACAACAUCUGAAGCAUAAGGCAAAGUUGUGACAUGUGCAGGUAUAUUGCUUCUAUACAUUGACCCGCUCUCGCAAGGUUUCCUUUAAAAUAAUAUUGAAGAACUAUUAUUUCGAGUUACAAUAUAUUGUACUUCAAGUGUUAUAAUAAUUUUUUGAUGAAAUACCAUUUCCAGUAAUGUAAUCUAUGUUUUCAUAAUUAUUUCCUUUUUUGCACUCUCA